rnacentral:lncRNA from 1 species
AACAACUUUAUCUUAAAACUCGUGUUUCUCCCUCCUAUGAAGUUAUUUAGGGGGACGAAAUGAGAAAUUUGAUUUACAAAAAGAAUUAAAAAUUAAAAAAAAUUGUCUAUUUUAGGAGGUUAACAUGCGGUUUUCGGUCUGCCGGUUAACCGUCGGUUUUUAGUUCGCUACAAAGAGGUUUGUAACCAAAUCGGGUAUACAGUGAUUUCGGUUCUGGUUCCAACUCGUGGUCAAUGGUUUCAUGUUCAGAUCAUUGAUCACAGGCUGAUUCACCUGAUUCCAAUUGGCCCUAAACGUCACUAAACAUAGAUAUUUACGAAACCUAUCGAAAACACGAAUGACGCAAGAAAAUUAAAGAAAAGUAUGAUGAGAGACGAGGAGAAGAAAUUUAUUUUACUCUAAAUUCAAUAUGUCUCUAAUGUUUGUGUUGUGAAAAAGUAAAAGGGGAAGGAGGGUA